UCAUUGGUGAUGGGUUAAGGAGGUGAGAUAAAGCAAAGCCUUGGGAACCCCCUGGGAUUGGAUGAAAAGUAAAAUGAUGGACACAUACUUAGGUGGGUACAGGAACAAUUAACAUGAUAAUGAAGGAAUUUGAGGCAUCUGUCUUGGCACCCACCACAUCUGGUUGGGCCCCAGGAGCUCCAGAAAAAGGGAAGUUACAAGUUACCCAGACAUGUCACAGAUUUGUUAUCUUAGAGGCAAAAAGGCAAAUGGGCUCAGUAAAGAUCUAAGUUGAUCUUUGUCAGGGAAAAUAUCAGCCUGGGACAUGACUGCCCACUAUAACCUGUGUGUAGUUAAGUAUUUAAUUUUCAGAUCAUCCUUUGUGGUUACUUUAGGUCUCUGAGAUUUCAAGACUGCCACGCAGACCUCCCCUGAGCUUGUCAGCUCUGUAAGUUGCUGUUU